UUAGAGGCAAACGGGUGGACCCGCAAUACGUCGACCCGGGGGAUUCAACCAGGCCGUGCGUUCGGGACGCGUGGGGGUUAUGCGGAGCUGUAAAGCCCGUGCCUUUGCGUGGGUCUCCGGGCGGACUGGUGCACUUUCCUCGGGUUGAUUGCCACGACCGGCUCUCCGCGCGGCCAUAAGCCUGUUGCUGGUAAGGUGACCGUCGGCCCCAGCGCCGGCGGUGUUAUAGACCAGCUUGUUCGUUGCGCUCGUCGGAGGGCCGAGGAAGUUGCCGUUUCUCAGCACCCUCUGGCCAUCCUUGCUCGUCACGACUGGGGUGAACUGCUUCGCCAGUGCUCUCCCGACCGCGAGCGUAGGAAGGGCUGGUACGGUGCGAGGAUGCUUCGGGCCAGUGGCGAAUCGGUCGGUCCUCCACCCGACC
rnacentral:rRNA from 1 species